AUUGAACGCUGGCGGCAGGCCUAACACAUGCAAGUCGAGCGGAUGAUGGGAGCUUGCUCCCGGAUUCAGCGGCGGACGGGUGAGUAAUGACUAGGAAUCUGCCUGGUCGUGGGGGACAAGGUCUCGAAAGUGACUCUAAUACCGCAUACGUCCUAGGGGAGAAAGCAGAGGCCCUUCGGCCCUUGCUCGAUCAGAUGAGCCUAGGUCGGAUUAGCUAGUUGGUGAGGUAAUGGCUCACCAAGCCGACGAUCCGUAACUGGUCUGAGAGGAUUAUCAGUAACACUGGAACUGGGACACGGUCAAGACUCCUACGGGAGGAAGCAGUGGGGAAUAUUGGACAAUGGGCGAAAGCCUGAUCCAGCCAUGCCGCGUGUGUGAAGAAGGUCUUCGGAUUGUAAAGCACUUUAAGUUGGGAGGAAGGGUUGUACGUUAAUACCGUGCAAUUUUGACGUUACCGACAGAAUAAGCACCGGCUAACUCUGUGCCAGCCGCCGCCGUAA
rnacentral:rRNA from 1 species